rnacentral:tRNA from 1 species
GUUGCUUUGACAGAUUAGUGUGAAAGAUUUAGAAUCUUUUCAAGUGAUUAAUUCACAGGCAAUA